AUGGAAAUCUGCUUCAUCCUAGUAGGGGUUAACUUACUUCCUGCAGCUAGCUGAAAGGUAAUGAAGAGAAAUGGAUUAACCAUGAGACUGUGCACAUCUGUGAUGUAAUCAAACCAGAAGUGGAUUAUAGGUAUCUGCUUUGCAAGAGGUGAGGGUAAAAAAAGAAGACAGCUUGUUUGGGGAGGAAGUCAGAAGUAUGUCUUUCUGGAAAGCUUUUCCACAUCGCUUUGGAUCAAAGAAAACAGAUUCAUGUGGACACUAGGUGUGGUUGGUCUACUAAAGAAUUACAGCUUUCCAGUGCCAGCUCAAACACUGAAGAUUCCCUGCCACCAUAAAGCUAUAAUUGCUGAAUUAAUAACAGGAGGUUUUGGAGAGUGACUGCACAGAAUCUCUGACCCAGCCACAAUGAUUUUGCCAUGUGAAGGAGAACUCCUGGAAUGGAAGUUGAUUUGUACAAUUUAUCUGACAGAGACAGUGGGACUUCAGCUUGAGAACCUGGAUGAACCCAAGUGAAGAUUCACUUUAUUUAAACUAAACCUAGAAAAACAUCUGUACCUGGACUCACUAUGGCAGGGAUGAGAACAGCAUUACCUGAACCCAGAUUCUUCUGCACUUCACAAAGUUAUGCACCCUGUUCUACAUUGCUCCAAGUUCAGAAAGGUGACAACUAUUAUGCCUCUUCAUGCUCUGUAAAGUAUUAAAGGACAGCCAGUGCUGCUUUUGAUAUGAAAACAUAGAGUUAACUGAAAUAUUGCUACAGCUACAUUUCAAACAAAAAUGAAGCAAUCUGAGGUCUUUGCUGCUCUUCAGAUUUGCACUAUUUCAGGGCUAAGUGCUAUAAACCUCUAUGUGAAGGCACACAGUGAGGAUGGGCAUUACUGUGGCUCUUGGAAUGCAUGCAUAAGAAAUUAUUAACGUGGGACUUGGCUGCUGCAGGGGCACAGGACAAGCUGGACUGCACUGACUCCAGAGGCAGUUCUCAUGAAGAACUGAAGUGUCCGGGCACUCAGAAAACAAGGAGAGCCAUUGCUGGGCAGGGAAUGGAGAGAUGAGAGCUUGGGCAGAGGGAACCAGUGUGGACUGGCUGGGGAGCAUGAAAAUGGGCUAUGGAAAUGCAAGGUGAUUUGAAGCCCAAGGACAUUCAGUAAGAACCUUCCUAUUGAACAGAGGGCUUCUGCCCCCUA